GCGAGUGUGGCGGAACGGCAGACGCACCGGACUUAGGAUCCGGCGUCUUACGACGUGAGGGUUCAAAUCCCUCCACUCGCACCA
rnacentral:tRNA from 1 species